GCCCUUCGGGGUACUCGAGUGGCGAACGGGUGAGUAACACGUGGGUGAUCUGCCCUGCACUUUGGGAUAAGCCUGGGAAACUGGGUCUAAUACCGAAUAGGACCGCAUGCUUCAUGGUGUGUGGUGGAAAGCUUUUGCGGUGUGGGAUGGGCCCGCGGCCUAUCAGCUUGUUGGUGAGGUAAUGGCUUACCAAGGCGACGACGGGUAGCCGGCCUGAGAGGGUGACCGGCCACACUGGGACUGAGAUACGGCCCAGACUCCUACGGGAGGCAGCAGUGGGGAAUAUUGCACAAUGGGCGCAAGCCUGAUGCAGCGACGCCGCGUGAGGGAUGACGGCCUUCGGGUUGUAAACCUCUUUCGCCAGGGACGAAGCGCAAGUGACGGUACCUGGAGAAGAAGGACCGGCCAACUACGUGCCAGCAGCCGCGGUAAUACGUAGGGUCCGAGCGUUGUCCGGAAUUACUGGGCGUAAAGAGCUCGUAGGUGGUUUGUCGCGUUGUUCGUGAAAACUCACAGCUUAACUGUGGGCGUGCGGGCGAUACGGGCAGACUUGAGUACUGCAGGGGAGACUGGAAUUCCUGGUGUAGCGGUGGAAUGCGCAGAUAUCAGGAGGAACACCGGUGGCGAAGGCGGGUCUCUGGGCAGUAACUGACGCUGAGGAGCGAAAGCGUGGGGAGCGAACAGGAUUAGAUACCCUGGUAGUCCACGCCGUAAACGGUGGGUACUAGGUGUGGGUUUCCUUCCUUGGGAUCCGUGCCGUAGCUAACGCAUUAAGUACCCCGCCUGGGGAGUACGGCCGCAAGGCUAAAACUCAAAGAAAUUGACGGGGGCCCGCACAAGCGGCGGAGCAUGUGGAUUAAUUCGAUGCAACGCGAAGAACCUUACCUGGGUUUGACAUGCACAGGACGCCGGCAGAGAUGUCGGUUCCCUUGUGGCCUGUGUGCAGGUGGUGCAUGGCUGUCGUCAGCUCGUGUCGUGAGAUGUUGGGUUAAGUCCCGCAACGAGCGCAACCCUUGUCUCAUGUUGCCAGCACGUUAUGGUGGGGACUCGUGAGAGACUGCCGGGGUCAACUCGGAGGAAGGUGGGGAUGACGUCAAGUCAUCAUGCCCCUUAUGUCCAGGGCUUCACACAUGCUACAAUGGCCGGUACAAAGGGCUGCGAUGCCGUGAGGUGGAGCGAAUCCUUUCAAAGCCGGUCUCAGUUCGGAUCGGGGUCUGCAACUCGACCCCGUGAAGUCGGAGUCGCUAGUAAUCGCAGAUCAGCAACGCUGCGGUGAAUACGUUCCCGGGCCUUGUACACACCGCCCGUCACGUCAUGAAAGUCGGUAACACCCGAAGCCGGUGGCCUAACCCCUUGUGGGAGGGAGC
rnacentral:rRNA from 1 species